rnacentral:rRNA from 1 species
GAUGAACGCUAGCUACAGGCUUAACACAUGCAAGUCGAGGGGAAACGAUAUUGGAAGCUUGCUUCCGAUAGGCGUCGACCGGCGCACGGGUGAGUAACGCGUAUCCAACCUGCCCACCACUUGGGGAUAACCUUGCGAAAGUAAGACUAAUACCCAAUGACGUCUCUAGAAGACAUCUGAAAGAGAUUAAAGAUUUAUCGGUGAUGGAUGGGGAUGCGUCUGAUUAGCUUGUUGGCGGGGUAACGGCCCACCAAGGCGACGAUCAGUAGGGGUUCUGAGAGGAAGGUCCCCCACAUUGGAACUGAGACACGGUCCAAACUCCUACGGGAGGCAGCAGUGAGGAAUAUUGGUCAAUGGGCGAGAGCCUGAACCAGCCAAGUAGCGUGCAGGAAGACGGCCCUAUGGGUUGUAAACUGCUUUUAUAGGGGAAUAAAGUGAGCCACGUGUGGUUUUUUGCAUGUACCCUAUGAAUAAGGACCGGCUAAUUCCGUG